rnacentral:rRNA from 1 species
CUACGGGUCGCUCCAGUGAGGAAUAUUGCACAAUGGGGGGAACCCUGAUGCAGCAACGCCGCGUGGAGGAUGACGCAUUUCGGUGUGUAAACUCCUUUUAUAUGUCAAGAAAAUGACGGUAGCAUAUGAAUAAGCACCGGCUAACUCCGUGCCAGCAGCCGCGGUAAUACGGAGGGUGCAAGCGUUACUCGGAAUCACUGGGCGUAAAGGACGCGUAGGCGGGUUGGAAAGUCAGGUGUGAAAUCCUACAGCUUAACUGUAGAACUGCACUUGAAACUUCUAAUCUAGAGUAUGGGAGGGGGAGAUGGAAUUAGUGGUGUAGGGGUAAAAUCCGUAGAUAUCACUAGGAAUACCUAAAGCGAAGGCGAUCUCCUGGAACACUACUGACGCUAAGGCGUGGAAGCGUGGGGAGCAAACAGGAUUAGAUACCCCUGUAGUC